GGAGAGGUGUCCGAGUGGUCGUAAGGUGCAACACUGGAAAUGUUGUGUAGGGCAACCUACCAUGGGUUCGAAUCCCAUCCUCUCCGCCA
rnacentral:tRNA from 2 species